rnacentral:rRNA from 1 species
AAAUUGAAGAGUUUGAUCAUGGCUCAGAUUGAACGCUGGCGGCAGGCCUAACACAUGCAAGUCGAACGGUAACAGGAAGAAGCUUGCUUCUUUGCUGACGAGUGGCGGACGGGUGAGUAAUGUCUGGGAAACUGCCUGAUGGAGGGGGAUAACUACUGGAAACGGUAGCUAAUACCGCAUAACGUCGCAAGACCAAAGAGGGGGACCUUCGGGCCUCUUGCCAUCGGAUGUGCCCAGAUGGGAUUAGCUUGUUGGUGGGGUAACGGCUCACCAAGGCGACGAUCCCUAGCUGGUCUGAGAGGAUGACCAGCCACACUGGAACUGAGACACGGUCCAGACUCCUACGGGAGGCAGCAGUGGGGAAUAUUGCACAAUGGGCGCAAGCCUGAUGCAGCCAUGCCGCGUGUAUGAAGAAGGCCUUCGGGUUGUAAAGUACUUUCAGCGGGGAGGAAGGGAGUAAAGUUAAUACCUUUGCUCAUUGACGUUACCCGCAGAAGAAGCACCGGCUAACUCCGUGCCAGCAGCCGCGGUAAUACGGAGGGUGCAAGCGUUAAUCGGAAUUACUGGGCGUAAAGCGCACGCAGGCGGUUUGUUAAGUCAGAUGUGAAAUCCCCGGGCUCAACCUGGGAACUGCAUCUGAUACUGGCAAGCUUGAGUCUCGUAGAGGGGGUAGAAUUCCAGGUGUAGCGGUGAAAUGCGUAGAGAUCUGGAGGAAUACCGGUGGCGAAGGCGGCCCCUGGACGAAGACUGACGCUCAGGUGCGAAAGCGUGGGGAGCAAACAGGAUUAGAUACCCUGGUAGUCCACGCCGUAAACGAUGUCGACUUGGAGGUUGUGCCCUUGAGGCGUGGCUUCCGGAGCUAACGCGUUAAGUCGACCGCCUGGGGAGUACGGCCGCAAGGUUAAAACUCAAAUGAAUUGACGGGGGCCCGCACAAGCGGUGGAGCAUGUGGUUUAAUUCGAUGCAACGCGAAGAACCUUACCUGGUCUUGACAUCCACGGAAGUUUUCAGAGAUGAGAAUGUGCCUUCGGGAACCGUGAGACAGGUGCUGCAUGGCUGUCGUCAGCUCGUGUUGUGAAAUGUUGGGUUAAGUCCCGCAACGAGCGCAACCCUUAUCCUUUGUUGCCAGCGGUCCGGCCGGGAACUCAAAGGAGACUGCCAGUGAUAAACUGGAGGAAGGUGGGGAUGACGUCAAGUCAUCAUGGCCCUUACGACCAGGGCUACACACGUGCUACAAUGGCGCAUACAAAGAGAAGCGACCUCGCGAGAGCAAGCGGACCUCAUAAAGUGCGUCGUAGUCCGGAUUGGAGUCUGCAACUCGACUCCAUGAAGUCGGAAUCGCUAGUAAUCGUGGAUCAGAAUGCCACGGUGAAUACGUUCCCGGGCCUUGUACACACCGCCCGUCACACCAUGGGAGUGGGUUGCAAAAGAAGUAGGUAGCUUAACCUUCGGGAGGGCGCUUACCACUUUGUGAUUCAUGACUGGGGUGAAGUCGUAACAAGGUAACCGUAGGGGAACCUGCGGUUGGAUCACCUCCUUA